ensembl:lncRNA
CAAAUUUGGAGCAGGCCCCUACCUAUGCUCGGACCUGCUCAGAAGCAGAGUAUUUUUAUUCAGGUCUCUGUGGAAAUUGUUCCUGUAAGCACAAAAUCUGCUCUUUGACUAGCUCCUAGCACUUCAAAGCCUGGGUUCGUGCCACAGGACAAAAUAGCUAUUGAGUGAGACAGGGAGCAAAAGCUUUCUGAAGCGAUGUUGCCAACAUGAUUCAAAACAACUAUGAAGGGACCAUCUAUAAAGCCUGGAGCAGGCAGAUGUUCAGCCUCUCCCAGGAAAGGAGGGCUCAUCAUGCAUAAUGGUUUCUGGAGAAGUCAAACUUCAUCACUCCAAACAUCCUGCCUUCCUCCUUCUUUCCCCCAGCUUUUAUUGCCGAGCACAACACUACAUGGUGUGGGACACCCUCUUGAGCUGUGGCUUCUCCCUGAAGGGUUUCAACACUUCUGAUGGUAGUUUUGGUGGAAAAGGUACCAUUUGGUGGCAGCAUUCUGAACGGAUUGAUACAGGGAAAAGGUGGAGGAACUGCAAUAAAAUGUGUACUGAACACAACCCUUAAAAGCAAAUUUUGCAACAACUCAGAUCUCUGAACAUAACUCAG